rnacentral:rRNA from 1 species
GGGUUGUGAGGUUAAGCGACUAAGCGUACACGGUGGAUGCCCUGGCAGUCAGAGGCGAUGAAGGGCGUGCUAAUCUGCGAUAAGCGCCGGUAAGGUGAUAUGAACCGUUAUAACCGGCGAUACCCGAAUGGGGAAACCCAGUGUGAUUCGUCACACUAUCAUUAACUGAAUCCAUAGGUUAAUGAGGCGAACCGGGGGAACUGAAACAUCUAAGUACCCCGAGGAAAAGAAAUCAACCGAGAUUCCCCCAGUAGCGGCGAGCGAACGGGGAGGAGCCCAGAGCCUGAAUCAGCAUGUGUGUUAGUGGAAGCGUCUGGAAAGGCGCGCGAUACAGGGUGACAGCCCCGUACACAAAAGCGCAUGUGCUGUGAGCUCGAUGAGUAGGGCGGGACACGUGGUAUCCUGUCUGAAUAUGGGGGGACCAUCCUCCAAGGCUAAAUACUCCUGACUGACCGAUAGUGAACCAGUACCGUGAGGGAAAGGCGAAAAGAACCCCGGCGAGGGGAGUGAAAAAGAACCUGAAACCGUGUACGUACAAGCAGUGGGAGCACANNNNNNNNNNNNNNACUGCGUACCUUUUGUAUAAUGGGUCAGCGACUUAUAUUCUGUAGCAAGGUUAACCGAAUAGGGGAGCCGGAGGGAAACCGAGUCUUAAUUGGGCGUUAAGUUGCAGGGUAUAGACCCGAAACCCGGUGAUCUAGCCAUGGGCAGGUUGAAGGUUGGGUAACACUAACUGGAGGACCGAACCGACUAAUGUUGAAAAAUUAGCGGAUGACCUGUGGCUGGGGGUGAAAGGCCAAUCAAACCGGGAGAUAGCUGGUUCUCCCCGAAAGCUAUUUAGGUAGCGCCUCGUGAAUUCAUCUCCGGGGGUAGAGCACUGUUUCGGCUAGGGGGCCAUCCCGGCUUACCAACCCGAUGCAAACUGCGAAUACCGGAGAAUGUUAUCACGGGAGACACACGGCGGGUGCUAACGUCCGUCGUGAAGAGGGAAACAACCCAGACCGCCAGCUAAGGUCCCAAAGUCAUGGUUAAGUGGGAAACGAUGUGGGAAGGCCCAGACAGCCAGGAUGUUGGCUUAGAAGCAGCCAUCAUUUAAAGAAAGCGUAAUAGCUCACUGGUCGAGUCGGCCUGCGCGGAAGAUGUAACGGGGCUAAACCAUGCACCGAAGCUGCGGCAGCGACACUGUGUGUUGUUGGGUAGGGGAGCGUUCUGUAAGCCUGUGAAGGUGUGUCGUGAGGCAUGCUGGAGGUAUCAGAAGUGCGAAUGCUGACAUAAGUAACGAUAAAGCGGGUGAAAAGCCCGCUCGCCGGAAGACCAAGGGUUCCUGUCCAACGUUAAUCGGGGCAGGGUGAGUCGACCCCUAAGGCGAGGCCGAAAGGCGUAGUCGAUGGGAAACGGGUUAAUAUUCCCGUACUUGGUGUUACUGCGAAGGGGGGACGGAGAAGGCUAUGUUGGCCGGGCGACGGUUGUCCCGGUUUAAGCGUGUAGGUGUGUGUUCCAGGUAAAUCCGGUUCACUUUAACACUGAGGCGUGACGACGAGGCACUACGGUGCUGAAGCAACAAAUGCCCUGCUUCCAGGAAAAGCCUCUAAGCAUCAGGUAACAUCAAAUCGUACCCCAAACCGACACAGGUGGUCAGGUAGAGAAUACCAAGGCGCUUGAGAGAACUCGGGUGAAGGAACUAGGCAAAAUGGUGCCGUAACUUCGGGAGAAGGCACGCUGACACGUAGGUGAAGUGAUUUACUCAUGGAGCUGAAGUCAGUCGAAGAUACCAGCUGGCUGCAACUGUUUAUUAAAAACACAGCACUGUGCAAACACGAAAGUGGACGUAUACGGUGUGACGCCUGCCCGGUGCCGGAAGGUUAAUUGAUGGGGUCAGCGCAAGCGAAGCUCCUGAUCGAAGCCCCGGUAAACGGCGGCCGUAACUAUAACGGUCCUAAGGUAGCGAAAUUCCUUGUCGGGUAAGUUCCGACCUGCACGAAUGGCGUAAUGAUGGCCAGGCUGUCUCCACCCGAGACUCAGUGAAAUUGAACUCGCUGUGAAGAUGCAGUGUACCCGCGGCAAGACGGAAAGACCCCGUGAACCUUUACUAUAGCUUGACACUGAACAUUGAGCCUUGAUGUGUAGGAUAGGUGGGAGGCUUUGAAGUGUGGACGCCAGUCUGCAUGGAGCCGACCUUGAAAUACCACCCUUUAAUGUUUGAUGUUCUAACGUGGACCCGUUACCCGGGUUGCGGACAGUGUCUGGUGGGUAGUUUGACUGGGGCGGUCUCCUCCUAAAGAGUAACGGAGGAGCACGAAGGUUGGCUAAUCCUGGUCGGACAUCAGGAGGUUAGUGCAAUGGCAUAAGCCAGCUUGACUGCGAGCGUGACGGCGCGAGCAGGUGCGAAAGCAGGUCAUAGUGAUCCGGUGGUUCUGAAUGGAAGGGCCAUCGCUCAACGGAUAAAAGGUACUCCGGGGAUAACAGGCUGAUACCGCCCAAGAGUUCAUAUCGACGGCGGUGUUUGGCACCUCGAUGUCGGCUCAUCACAUCCUGGGGCUGAAGUAGGUCCCAAGGGUAUGGCUGUUCGCCAUUUAAAGUGGUACGCGAGCUGGGUUUAGAACGUCGUGAGACAGUUCGGUCCCUAUCUGCCGUGGGCGCUGGAGAACUGAGGGGGGCUGCUCCUAGUACGAGAGGACCGGAGUGGACGCAUCACUGGUGUUCGGGUUGUCAUGCCAAUGGCACUGCCCGGUAGCUAAAUGCGGAAGAGAUAAGUGCUGAAAGCAUCUAAGCACGAAACUUGCCCCGAGAUGAGUUCUCCCUGAGACUUAGAGUCUCCUGAAGGAACGUUGAAGACGACGACGUUGAUAGGCCGGGUGUGUAAGCGCAGCGAUGCGUUGAGCUAACCGGUACUAAUGAACCGUGAGGCUUAACCUUACAACGCCGAAG